GAUGAACGCUGGCGGAAUGCUUUACACAUGCAAGUCGAACGGCAGCACGGGUGCUUGCACCUGGUGGCGAGUGGCGAACGGGUGAGUAAUAUAUCGGAACGUAUCCAAUAAUGGGGGAUAACUAGCCGAAAGGUUAGCUAAUACCGCAUACGCCCUGAGGGGGAAAGCUGGGGAUCGUAAGACCUAGCGUUGAUGGAGCGGCCGAUAUCUGAUUAGCUAGUUGGUGGGGUAAGAGCCUACCAAGGCGACGAUCAGUAGCUGGUCUGAGAGGACGACCAGCCACACUGGAACUGAGACACGGUCCAGACUCCUACGGGAGGCAGCAGUGGGGAAUUUUGGACAAUGGGGGCAACCCUGAUCCAGCCAUUCCGCGUGAGUGAAGAAGGCCUUCGGGUUGUAAAGCUCUUUCGCAAGGGAAGAAAACUCGAUCUCUAAUAUAGGUUGAGGCUGACGGUACCUUGAUAAGAAGCACCGGCUAACUACGUGACAGCAGCCGCCGUAA
rnacentral:rRNA from 1 species